CUAUAAAGCAUUGCUACAUGUGAGUAUGUCUUUCUUGAUCUGCAGAACAUCUGCCCAAUAGGGUGAGCUAAUAUAAUGUCCAGGAAUCAUUAGAUUAUGUAAUAGUGACAAGAAAGGCAUAUUAGCAGCCAGAAGCAGUCCUGGGCCAAAAUCUCUGAAGGCCCUGUAAUUCAGAGUUUACCCAUGGCAGCCAUGCAACAUGGUGAGCCAUCUCCAGAAAACUUACUUGCCUGCCUUCACUCUUUCCUCGAUGGCUUCUGAUAGGGGACUGUUUGUUUUGGGCAAAGUCUCAUUUGGCUGCCUCAGAACUCACUGUGUAGACCAGGAUAGUCUCGAACGUAUAGAGACCUAUCUGCCUGCCUCUACUGCCACUGCCUUAGCUAUGGUAGGAUCAAAGGCAUUCAGUACCAUGUUUACUGAUACCACUUGCAUUGUGUCUCACAUUUGCAAGUCACAUAAUUCAUGCAUUCAUGAAACUGUGUCUAGGGAGGCUAGAGAGAUGGCUCAGUGGUUGAGAACACUGGCUGCUCUUCCAGAGGACCUGGGUCCAAUUGCUAGCACCCACAUGGCAUCUCACAACUGUCUGUAACUCCAGUUCCAGGAGAUCUGACACCUUCACACAGACACGCAUACAGACAAAGCACCAAUGCACAUAAAAUAAAAUAUAAGAAAUUAUGGAACCGUGUUUAAUGUUGAUGGGCCUAAUACAGAUUGUCAAAUGGUAUCUUCUAUUUUUGUCCUUUUGA
rnacentral:lncRNA from 1 species